rnacentral:tRNA from 1 species
AAAAAUUUAGUUAAGUGAUAACAUUAGUUUGUCGGACUGAAAUGAUUAAUCUAAUUUAAUAGUUUUUA